GUUCUGCGGCCCCGGCUGGCACGGGGGUGUACCGCCGCUUCGGGCGGCGCUGGCGCACCGAGCCCUGCUGCAGAGAGAGCAGCGCAGGGCGGCUGGGGCGGCCUCCGCCGCAGGGCAGCGGGAGGGGAUGAGGAGCUCGCAGAACUGGGCCAAGUCUGCUCCUGAAAGGCGGCGGGCGAGAGGCGGCCUGACGAGGCGGCUCCCAGGACAGCCCCUGGACGUGCGGCGCAGGCGAGCACUCCGCCAAGGUGGAGAAUCGCUGUCGGGACCUGCUUGUGGCGGUGGCAGUCAUCGGCAGCAGGAAAGGAGCUGCCCACCUGCGCCCACCCUGCACAGAGGCCUCUUCUGCUGCUGCGGUGCAGAAACACAGGGACUGAUCCCUAGGGAAAUUCCCUCCCCUAACUCUUGCAUCCUAACAGUGCUAAAUUUGUUUGAUUCCGCCUGAUUCCAACCGUGAGACUGACCAGUGUGGAAAAGGACACUGAGAAGACAUUUUUUGGUGCACCUGCGCAUGCCUUGGGUCUGCUGUAUCCCGAAUCACAGAGCAAACACACACAGUGUGUGCCAAAAGGCCCCGCCCAGAGCACCAACCCCAUCCUCGCCUUCCAGAAGUGGCAGAGGACUUGACUGACCGCAGUACAGCAGAACUGACUGGGCAAGGGCAAGCAUGUUCCUGCAUAAAUCUGACCAGCUAGGUCAGUACACUUCUGACCUUUCCAGCCAUCCAAGCCAUGAGCAGCCAGUUUCUCCAGGAGGAUGCUGUGUUGAAGGCUUUACUAAAGUCCAGGAGGAAAUCCCAUGGCUGUGGUCAGCAAACAAGUGAACAUGGAACUGGCCAAGAUCAAACAAAAAUGCCCGCUCUAUGAAGCAAAUGGACAAGCUACCUAGUCACAUCUCCUUAACCCCACUACCACUAACCUUCCUUCUUAACCUCUUGGCUGCACCUCAAUUCUUCCUGGGAACUUGGGUAAGGUUGACAGGGAACAGGGAAGGUGUUGGGGUAGUUUGAGAGCCCCUCCUGGGGACUCAGGUUUCUGGGAGGGGAGUUGUGCUUCUGUAUUGUUUAUCCUUUGUAUAUUUCUGUAUAUAACUGUAUCUAUUGUAAAUAGCUGCUUGUAUAUUUGCUGCUGUAAAAUAAAUAGCUUCAUUUAUACUCCUGGAAUCCUUUCUGAGUU